rnacentral:lncRNA from 14 species
AUUACACAGAAAGUGCUCAGAGUUAUGUGAGUGCCUGUGAUAUACCCUCAAAUAUAAAUUAACCCUUAGAGUAUCAACAUGAAGUAGUAAUUAAAAUUUUAGGGUGGUGAGUUAAAAUACAUAGGGGUUAUAUGACUUGCCCUCAGUCAUCCAGGUCCUUAAAUAAGUGCACUUUCAUGAUGGAUAAGUUCUACAAUACUUACUUUGGGCACCAGAAAUGGACUCAGGUGGAUUCAUUUGGCCAAGGUGGAGAAGAAAUGUGAUGUAUCAACACUGGAAGGAAGUGCCUUUUGCCAAAAGCUAUCCAGUAUCAAAUGGAGCCAAUCUAAUAAAUUCCUUCCUCUCUCUCCUCCAAAACCCUUCCUCUGAAGUUCUAAAGAGCCCCCCGAUUUGCUCCAUAUUCACAUACCCUGUCCCCAUUUACCCAUUUAAAGUUCUGGCUGGGCAAGUCCAGGUGAUGCUGUUCCUGAAGCUGAGGGAGGACUGAAUAUGGAAGAGGAGGGAAGGUGGCUCAUGCCUGGGAUCCGUGCGUAAGCCGGAGGGAGCUGUGCCUGGGGAGAGCUAUGGUCGCU